GGGGAUGUAGCUCAGUUGGGAGAGCACCUGCCUUGCACGCAGGGGGUCAGGAGUUCGAAUCUCCUCAUCUCCACCA
rnacentral:tRNA from 1 species